rnacentral:rRNA from 1 species
AACGAACGCUGGCGGCAUGCCUAACACAUGCAAGUCGAACGAAGGCUUCGGCCUUAGUGGCGCACGGGUGCGUAACGCGUGGGAAUCUGCCCCUCGGUUCGGAAUAACAGUUAGAAAUGACUGCUAAUACCGGAUGAUGACUUCGGUCCAAAGAUUUAUCGCCGAGGGAUGAGCCCGCGUAAGAUUAGGUAGUUGGUGGGGUAAAGGCCUACCAAGCCGACGAUCUUGAGCUGGUCUGAGAGGAUGAUCAGCCACACUGGGACUGAGACGCGGCCCAGACUCCUACGGGAGGCAGCAGUGGGGAAUAUUGGACAAUGGGCGAAAGCUUGAUCCAGCAAUGCCGCGUGAGUGAUGAAGGCCUUAGGGUUGUAAAGCUCUUUUACCAGGGAUGAUAAUGACAGUACCUGGAGAAUAAGCUCCGGCUAACUCUGUGCCAGCCGCCGCAGUAA